GCCUUGUUAGCUCAGUCGGUAGAGCGCAGCGUUGGUAACGCUGAGGUCCCGGGUUCAAUUCCCGGACGAGGCU
rnacentral:tRNA from 1 species